rnacentral:rRNA from 1 species
AUGAACGCUGGCGGCGUGCCUAAUACAUGCAAGUCGAGCGAACAGACGAGGAGCUUGCUCCUCUGACGUUCGCGGCGGACGGGUGAGUAACACGUGGAUAACCUACCUAUAAGACUGGGAUAACUUCGGGAAACCGGAGCUAAUACCGGAUAAUAUAUUGAACCGCAUGGUUCAAUAGUGAAAGACGGUUUUGCUGUCACUUAUAGAUGGAUCCGCGCCGCAUUAGCUAGUUGGUAAGGUAACGGCUUACCAAGGCAACGAUGCGUAGCCGACCUGAGAGGGUGAUCGGCCACACUGGAACUGAGACACGGUCCAGACUCCUACGGGAGGCAGCAGUAGGGAAUCUUCCGCAAUGGGCGAAAGCCUGACGGAGCAACGCCGCGUGAGUGAUGAAGGUCUUCGGAUCGUAAAACUCUGUUAUUAGGGAAGAACAAAUGUGUAAGCAACUAUGCACGUCUUGACGGUACCUAAUCAGAAAGCCACGGCUAACUACGUG